rnacentral:rRNA from 1 species
UACGGAGGGGGCUAGCGUUGUUCGGAAUUACUGGGCGUAAAGCGCACGUAGGCGGCUUUGUAAGUUAGAGGUGAAAGCCCGGGGCUCAACUCCGGAAUUGCCUUUAAGACUGCAUCGCUAGAAUUGUGGAGAGGUAAGUGGAAUUCCGAGUGUAGAGGUGAAAUUCGUAGAUAUUCGGAAGAACACCAGUGGCGAAGGCGACUUACUGGACACAUAUUGACGCUGAGGUGCGAAAGCGUGGGGAGCAACCAGG